GUGAAUCAUGGAACCGUUACACUUAGCGUAAAGAACAACUUUAUGAACUGAUAAUCCUGUGUCCCCAAGAUUACACCUCUGAACUUGAGAAAUCUCAGCGAGCGCCUGCACUCAUUGAUUGGUCUAAAGUGAUAAAAGUCCCUUUUGCACUAAAAAUGUUACGAAUUGUGUUAAAAAUAUAGCAAACAAAAAGAGCGUUAAAUUAUUAAAUUGCUACAAAACAUUUACAUACUUGUUAUAUAAAGAUUCAUCAUUAUUUGAU
rnacentral:misc_RNA from 1 species